rnacentral:rRNA from 1 species
UACGUAGGGACCGAGCGUUGUCCGGAUUCAUUGGGCGUAAAGAGCUCGUAGGCGGCUGCUCAAGUCGAAUGUGAAAACUCGAGGCUCAACCUCGAGCCUGCAUUCGAUACUGGGCGGCUAGAGUCUGGUAGGGGGGAUCUGGAAUUCCUGGUGUAGCGGUGGAAAUGCGCAGAUAUCAGGAGGAACACCGGUGGCGAAGGCGGCUCUCUGGGACGGUACUGACGCUGAGACGCGAAAGCGUGGGGAGCAAACAGG